rnacentral:tRNA from 1 species
GUCCAAGGUAGCCUAGUGGACAUGGCAUCUGCCCCGGUAAGCGGAAGGUCGUGGGUUCGAUUCCCAUCCCUGGACA